UACUCCCUUCAUCCUUUUAUGUUUGACGUUGGUUAGUUCAUUUGAACUAACCAACGUCAAACAUAAAAGGAUGAAGGGAGUA
rfam:Leersia perrieri chromosome 7, whole genome shotgun sequence.